rfam:Rattus norvegicus chromosome 10, whole genome shotgun sequence.
GGGGAUUUAGCUCAGUGGUAGAGCGCUUGCCUAACACUCGCAAGGCCCUGGGUUCGGUCCCCAGCUCCG